AAAUACAUUAUACUUCUUUUUUUUUUUUUUUUUUUUUUUUUUUUCUUUUUGGACCCAACACCAAGUGUUAUUUGCCACUUUCAAAAUAAAGGUUAGGAAGCAAAAAUCAAAUCAGAAAAUAUAAGUUAGAUAAGGUUUAGGCAGGAAAAUUGGAUUAGGAUUAAUAUAAUUAGGAAGAAUAAAUAAUAUAUAUAAUUAUAAUUUUAGGUUAAAACUGUUGAGGAAUAAGAUAAUAAUUUUAUAAAUAACUGGGUCUACUGUAUGUAAUAAAUAAGGUACAGAUAUAGGAAAAGGAAUACUAAGUGAUGAUAAAGAACUAUAAAGAAGUGAAUGGUCAAAAAGGGGACAUGAAAGAAUAAUGUGAUUUAAAUCGCCAAUGUCCGCACCGCAUUCACACUUACUGCUAUCCAGCACUCCGAUCGUCGCUAGAUGUGCCGGACUACACGUGUGGCCUAAUCUCAUCCGUAUCAAACUGGAAGUCUCGUGGCGUUUAAAAUUAUAUUUGUAGAACCAUGGUUUGGAAGGAAUGGUUUCUACAGUCUAAGAGAAUAGGGUAAAUCGGUUGAGAUUUAAAAGGAAAUUUUGCAAGAGCCUGUAAAGCACUCUUUGAAUCGGGAUUUGAAAACGAAUUUAUCAGAUAAAUAUUGACGUCUCAAAUGAAGAGGAGGAUCAACACAUUCUACCUGUAAUGCUGUAACAGGACUAGAUUUCAUGGCUCCAGUGAUAAUUCUGAGUGAUUUAGACUGUAUAGUGUCUAGUUUUUUGAAAGCAUUCACAUCCCCUGGUUGAAGUAAAAAAGUACCAUAAUCUAAAACUGAUCUUACUAUGGCAUUAUAUAAAAGUUUUAAAUUGAAUGGGUGGGCACCCCACCAUACACCAGCAAGAGAACAUGAGAGAGCUAUGGGUCUGUAUGACAAUACAUCUGAUGAAGAUUUACCCGGUUUGAGAAUGGGUAAAAUAAUUUGUUUUUUCCAUGACUCUGGGAUAACACAUGUAAUGAACAUAGAAUUUAUAAGGUUGAGGUAAUAUGUGAGACUAGAAUCACUCAAAUGGACAAAGAAAGAAUAAGGAAUCUUAUCAUCACCUGGAGCAGAGUCCUUAAGAUUCGAGAUUACCCCCUUCAGUUCAUUAAAUGAAAAAGGUAAAUCAAAAUCUGAAACUGGAUCUGAACAGGAGAAAGGAAGGACAGACGGGAUAAGAACUAAACAUUCUUCUGGAACAUAAGGGGGAGCUAAUUUAUCAAGAAACUUGUCAGCCAGAUCAUAAGGCAAGUCUUUGACUGUAUUUUCUUUAUAUGCAGAUCUAAAUCUUCUUAUUUGGUUCCAUACUUCAGAAGGUGAGAUAUUAGGACAAAUCGAAGCACAAAAUUUUUUAAAACCUUCUCGUUUCUUUUUUAAUAAAAGAUUCCGAGUACUAUUGAUUCUUUCUGUUAGAAUAUCAAAAUUUUCUGUAAUAGUUUCUUCUAAAUAUAAUAAUUCGGCUGCUUUUCUCUCCUUUACCGCCUGAGUGCACUCCCGGUCCCACCAAGGAGGAGAAGGAAUAAAAAUACCAGAAGGGCUUUUAGAAGGGAAAACUUCAUCAGCUGUUUCUAUAAAAGCAGAAGCUAAAAUUUUUGCUUGUGCAUCGGAAUCUAAGUUAUUAAUAUUUUCACAGUUGGCAAGUUUAAUAUCCAAACGCGAUUGAAACAUUUUCCAAUCCUCAUCUGUUACUUGAGAUAGAUUGUACUUUAUUGUAGACUUAUGUUUAGAAUGAUCCUUAAUUACUAUGUUAUUGUGUGAAAAUGAAAUAAUAAUAGGAUAGUGGUCACUUCCAUAACUUAAUUUUAAUGUUUUCCAGGACAAAGACGGCACCAGAGAUGGGGAGGAAAUAGAUAUAUCAGGAGCACUAACAAUUUGAUCAGGACCAGUUCUACGAGUUGGACUUCCAGAAUUUAAAAUACACAAAUUCUGUUCAUUAACAAAAUCAAGAAUUAUAUCUCCAAAUUCAUUAGAUAUUGAGCUUCCCCAUGUUUGAUGAAGGGUGGGGAAUAUAUACACUAACUAUACAUAUAUUAUUUACAAUGACCGCAAUAAUGGAUAAACCAAAACUAUGAUCAGGUAUAUCUACAAGUUUAAAGCUAAGAACACUAUUUACAAGAAGAGCAACACCACUGUACCCGUCAAUACGAUCUUCACGGAUACAGGUAUAUCCUUUGAUUUUGAAAGGAUAUAUACUUUUCAACCAUGUUUCCUGUAAAGAAACUAUGAUUGGAGAGUGUUUAUUUAUUAAGUGAAUGAGAUCAGACUUUUUACUUAGAAUACUUCGACAGUUCCACUGAAUCAUCUUUUUUAUUUGUGGAGCCAUUGUAUGUUUUGUUUAAAAUUUGUCUUAUGAUAUCAGCUGCGUUGGACGGUGUAGCGUUAUUAGGAGCAAGUAAAUUAAUAAGAGCAAUAAUUA